rnacentral:tRNA from 1 species
GGGGCUGUAGCUCAGCGGCAGAGCACUUGCCUAGCAUGCUUGAGGCAUUGGGUUCGGUCCUCAGCACCA